GCGGAAGGANCAUUAUCGAAUGAAAAAAAUUGAACGAGUUGUUGCUGGCUCCUUUGAUGGGCAUGUGCACGCUUGUCAUUUUUAUCUCAUCUCUCCUCUUGUGCACCAACUGUGGGUCUGGAGUUUGUUUGAAAUCCUUUGGAUUUUGAUUGAGGACUGCUUCUCAGCUUUUCCUUGCAUCUCUGGGUCUAUGUCUUUUACAAUCUCUCUGAAUGUAGAACUUUGAUGGUAUACAUAAAAUAUAUACAACUUUCAGCAACGGAUCUCUUGGCUCUCGCAUCGAUGAAGAACGCAGCGAAAUGCGAUAAGUAAUGUGAAUUGCAGAAUUCAGUGAAUCAUCGAAUCUUUGAACGCAUCUUGCGCUCCUUGGUAUUCUGAGGAGCAUGCCUGUUUGAGUGUCAUCAAGCUCUCAACCACAUCAAUUUGCUUUGAUGUGGAUUGGACAUGGGAUUUUGCAGGCCAAUUUUGAUCUGCUUUCCUGAAAUAGAUUAGUGGUAUCUGAGCAGAGGCUACUACAGGUGUGAUAACUUAUCUAUGCCUAUUGUAAAGUGCUGCACAAACUGCUUCCAAAUCUUGAUUUUUGACCAAUUUGACCUCAAAUCAGGUGGGACUACCCGCUGAACUUAAGCAUAU
rnacentral:rRNA from 1 species